rnacentral:rRNA from 1 species
GAGUUUGAUCGUGGCUCAGGAUGAACGCUGGCGGCGUGCCUAAUACAUGCAAGUCGAGCGAACGGACGAGAAGCUUGCUUCUCUGAUGUUAGCGGCGGACGGGUGAGUAACACGUGGAUAACCUACCUAUAAGACUGGGAUAACUUCGGGAAACCGGAGCUAAUACCGGAUAAUAUUUUGAACCGCAUGGUUCAAAAGUGAAAGACGGUCUUGCUGUCACUUAUAGAUGGAUCCGCGCUGCAUUAGCUAGUUGGUAAGGUAACGGCUUACCAAGGCAACGAUGCAUAGCCGACCUGAGAGGGUGAUCGGCCACACUGGAACUGAGACACGGUCCAGACUCCUACGGGAGGCAGCAGUAGGGAAUCUUCCGCAAUGGGCGAAAAGCCUGACGGAGCAACGCCGCGUGAGUGAUGAAGGUCUUCGGAUCGUAAAACUCUGUUAUUAGGGAAGAACAUAUGUGUAAGUAACUGUGCACAUCUUGACGGUACUAAUCAGAAAGCACGGCUAACUACGUCG